rnacentral:rRNA from 1 species
GACGAACGCUGGCGGCGUGCUUAACACAUGCAAGUCGAACGGAAAGGCCCUGCUUUUGUGGGGUGCUCGAGUGGCGAACGGGUGAGUAACACGUGAGUAACCUGCCCUUGACUUUGGGAUAUCUUCAGGAAACUGGGGCUAAUACCGGCUAGGAGCUCCUGCUGCAUGGUGGGGGUUGGAAAGUUUCGGCGGUUGGGGAUGGACGCGCGGCUUAUUAGCUUGUUGGGUGGGUAGUGGCUUACCAAGGCUUUGACGGGUAGUCGGCCUGGGAGGGUGACCGGCCACAUUGGGACUGAGAUACGGCCCAGACGCCAACGGGGGGCAGCAGUGGGGAAUAUUACACAAUGGGCGGAAGCCUGAUGCAGCAGCGCCGCGUGCGGGAUGACGGCCUUCGGGUUGUGAACCGCUGUCGCCUGUGACGAAGCGGGAGUGACGGUAAUGGGUAAAGAAGCACCGGCUAACUACGUG